rnacentral:rRNA from 5 species
AAUCGUAACAAGGUUUCCGUAGGUGAACCUGCGGAAGGAUCAUUG